UGCAAAUAAAAGUGACCUUGAAC
rnacentral:piRNA from 1 species